GCCCGGUUGGUGUAGCGGUAACACGAGCGAGAAGUGGCUGUAGGUCGCGUGAAGCAUUAAGUCCACCAAGAUAUAGCUAGUCCUCGGUUCGAAUCCGAGGCCGGGCA
rnacentral:tRNA from 1 species